ACUGUUAGUACUUCUGUAAUUUUUUUAAUAGUUUUAUUUUGUGAGUAAAUGGCAAUAGAUUAAAAAUAAUAUUUACCCAAAGGGAUGGCAGUUGACUCUUGUUUUUAUUUAUUAACAGGUCAAAUCAGGUUACAGUAAAUACCAGACAGUUAUAUUUGAUUCUGUUGAGGACAGAUCUCCAAUAAAAUAGCCAUUCAUUUUUAAGAGCUCUUGUAUAUCUUAAUGAAAGAUUUUUUAAAGAAUUACCUGGUUUUCCACUUCUUUAUAAAGUAUUCAU
rnacentral:lncRNA from 1 species